rnacentral:RNase_P_RNA from 1 species
GAGGGGGUGUGGGUGGCUGCAGAUUCCUGAUGGAAUUUGAGGAAAGUCCGGGCUCCCGAAAGACCAAACUUGCUGGGUAACGCCCAGUGCGGGUGACCGUGAGGAUAGUGCCACAGAAACAUACCGCCGAUGGAGCCAUUGGCUCACAGGUAAGGGUGCAAGGGUGCGGUAAGAGCGCACCAGCAACGUCGAGAGGCGUUGGCUCGGUAAACCCCGGUUGGGAGCAAGGUCGAAGGAGCGAUGGUUGGUCUUUUCCCGGCUCCGAGGUGCGGAGCAAUCCGUACCUGCCAAUCCGCUUGAGGUGUCUGGCAACAGGCGUCCCAGAUAGAUAGCUGCCCCUGGAUGCUGCGGCAUUCAGGAACAGAACCCGGCUUACGGCUCCCUCUUCUCU